GGCCUACCAUGGUGGUAACGGGUAACGGGGUGUUAGGGCACGACACCGGAGAGGGAGCCUGAGAAACGGCUACCACAUCCAAGGAUGGCAGCAGGCGCGCAAAUUACCCAAUCCCGACACGGGGAGGUAGUGACAAUAAAUAACAAUACGGGGUUCUUUCGGAUCUCGUAAUUGGAAUGAGUACAAUUUAAAUCUCUUAACGAGGAACAAUUGGAGGGCAAGUCUGGUGCCAGCAGCCGCGGUAAUUCCAGCUCCAAUAGCGUAUAUUAAAGUUGUUGCAGUUAAAAAGCUCGUAGUUGAAUUUCGGGGUCAGUAGGUUGGUCGUGCCACAGGUAUGAACUGGUCUCACUGAUUCCUCCUUCCUGAUGAACCGUAAUGCCAUUAAUUUGGUGUUGCAGGGAAUCUGGACUGUUACUUUGAAAAAAUUAGAGUGUUUAAAGCAGGCUAACGCUUGAAUACAUUUGCAUGGAAUAAUGAAAUAGGACGUUCGAUCCUAUUUUGUUGGUUUCUAGGAUUGACGUAAUGAUUAAUAGGGAUAGUUGGGGGCAUUAGUAUUCAAUUGUCAGAGGUGAAAUUCUUGGAUUUAUUGAAGACUAACUACUGCGAAAGCAUUUGCCAAGGAUGUUUUCAUUAAUCAAGAACGAAAGUUAGGGGAUCGAAGACGAUCAGAUACCGUCGUAGUCUUAACCAUAAACUAUGCCGACUAGGAAUCGGGCGAUGUUGAAAAAUGACGCGCUCGGCACCUCAUG
rnacentral:rRNA from 1 species